AUUCCAGCUCCAAUAGCGUAUAUUAAAGUUGUUGCAGUUAAAAAGCUCGUAGUUGGAUUUCUGGCGGGAGUCCGGGUCGGCCUUAACGGGUUGCACUGUUGUGACGUCUCGCCGUUUCGAGGGGAAUGGGCUCGCUAUUAGGUUAGUGUGUUCGGGAACCUCGUCGUUUACUGUGAAAAAAUUAGAGUGUUCAAAGCAGGCCUUUGCUGUGAAUACAUUAGCAUGGAAUAAUAAGAUAGGACUGUAGUGCUAUUUUGUUGGUUUGCGUACUAUGGUAAUGAUUAAUAGGGAUAGUUGGGGGUAUUCAUAUUCAAUUGUCAGAGGUGAAAUUCUUGGAUUUAUGGAAGAUGAACUACUGCGAAAGCAUUUACCAAGGAUGUUUUCAUUA
rnacentral:rRNA from 1 species